GCCCUGGUAGCUCAAUUGGUUAGAGCGUCGGACUUUUACGGUCCAUCGUCAGAGUUCAUCCGAAGGCUGCGGGUUCGACCCCCGCCUGGGGCG
rnacentral:tRNA from 1 species